UACGGGGGGGGCAAGCGUUGUUCGGAAUUACUGGGCGUAAAGGGUCUGUAGGUGGCUUGCUAAGUCAGACGUGAAACCCCUCGGCUUAACCGGGGAACUGCGUCUGAUACUGGCGAGCUUGAGUGCAGGAGAGGAACGCGGAAUUCCAGGUGUAGCGGUGAAAUGCGUAGAUAUCUGGAGGAACACCGGUGGCGAAGGCGGCGUUCUGGACUGCAUCUGACACUGAAAGACGAAAGCCAGGGGAGCAAACGGG
rnacentral:rRNA from 1 species